AGAGUUUGAUCCUGGCUCAGGAUGAACGCUGCGGCGUGGAUAAGGCAUGCAAGUCGUGCGCCGAGCACUCAAGCAAUUGAGUGCUUGGAGCGGCAAACGGGUUAGUAACACGUAGGUACAUACCGUCGAGACAGAAACAACCCAGAGAAAUCUGGGCUAAUAUCUGAUAGUCUCCAAAAGAGUAAAGGCUUCGCAAGAAGCCGCUCGACGAAUGACCUGCGGCCUAUCAGCUAGUUGGUGAGGUAACGGCUCACCAAGGCGAUGACGGGUAGGCGGGCUGAGAGGCCGAUCGCCAACAAGGGCACUGCGACACGGGCCCUACUCCUACGGGAGGCUGCAGUCGAGAAUCUUUGGCAAUGGGGGAAACCCUGACCAUGCGACGCCGCGUGCUCGAAGAAGCCCCUCGGGGUGUAAAGAGCUUUUUUGGAGGAGGAAUCUUCGGAUGACUGUACUCCAAGAAUAAGAAGGUGCUAACUCUGUGCCAGCAGCAGCGGUAAUACAGAGCCUUCAAGCGUUAUCCGGAUUUAUUGGGCGUAAAGAGUCUGUAGGUGUUUUGUUAGGUUUUCUGUUAAAUUUCUAGGGCUUAACCUUAGAGCUGCAGAAAAAACCGGCGAAAUGGAGGGCGUUAGGGGCUGAUGGAACGGUCGAUGUAGGGGUGAAAUCCGUUGAUAUCGACCGGAACACCAAAAGCGAAGGCAUUCAGCUGGGACGACCCUGACACUGAGAGACGAAAGCGUGGGGAGCAAAAAGGAUUAGAUACCCUUGUAGUCCACGCUGUAAACGAUGAACACUAGCUAUUGGCAGUGUCGACCCUGUCAGUGGCGAAGCAAACGCGUUAAGUGUUCCGCCUGGGAAGUACGGCCGCAAGGCUAAAACUCAAAGGAAUAGACGGGACUUCACACAAGCGGUGGACCAUGUGGCUUAAUUCAACAACAAGCGAGGAACCUUACCAGGGUUUGAAAUCCAGCCGAACCCUCGAUGAAAAUCGAGGCUUCUCACAAGGACGGCUGGACAGGUGCUGCACGGCUGUCGUCAGCAUGUGCUUUGAAGUGCACCCUUAAAUGGGGUAACAUGCGCAACCCUUGUUCUGCGUUUUAUUUGUCGCAGGAGACUGCCCUGGAUAGCAGGAGGAAGGAGAGGAUGACGCCAAGUCAGCGUGGCCCUUUGAUACCCUGGGCUGCACACGUGGUACAAUGGCCGUUACAAUGGGCUGCAAAGCUGUAAAGCCGAGCUAAUCCCACCAAAAACGGUCUCAGUUCGGAUUGAGGUCUGAAACCCGACCUCAUGAAGCCGGAAUCGCUAGUAAUCGCCAAUCAGCCAUGUGGCGAUGAAUAUGUCCCUGAAGUUUGUACUCACCGCCCGUCACGUCAAGCGAGCUGGGAAUACCCAAAGCGCCUCGCAAGAGGAACUAAGGUAGGCUCAGUGAGAUGGACGAAGUCGUAACAAGGCA
rnacentral:rRNA from 1 species